CUAAAACAUCAUGAAAAUAUUGAAAUCACAGUCACUGUGUCUGCAGGUGUGGACGGAGGCGCCGUCAGAGUGACGGGCGCCAAAGGCCUCGCUCCGUCACACGACUACAAGGUGUGCGCCACCUACAUGGACGGCUUCAGGGCGACGGCGGUGUGUCCGGUCGGAGGUCCCAGAGCGGCAGAAAAGGCCCGACGGACGGCAGAGAGCAUCAUCAAACGGACAAAGCGAAUGUUUCAGCAGUUAAAACUUGAAGAUUUCAGCUCCGUCAACAUCCAGAUCCUCGGAGCCGAGGACACGUACGGUCCCAGCGCUCGCA